AUCACGUGUGAAAGCCUUCCCCUUUCCCCCCAUUUCUUCCCCCAAAUCCCCUAACCACCAACCACUUCCUCACCGAACGCAUCGGCGAUGCCCACCCACGGCACCAGCUCGAAAUCCGACGACGCCCAUUGACACAGGCCACGCCCACAGUCCAAAAAAGCAACGCACCGACGACGCCUACCCACGGCACCAGCUCGAAAUCCAGCGACGCCCAUUGACACAGGCCACGCCCACAGUCCAAAAAAGCACCGCCCACGAAGACAAAGGGCCUACCGACCGAUCGCCGCCCACCAAGACGAACGGCCUUCCGACCGGCCAACCGACACCAUCUCUCUCCCCUCUCUCUCUACGGCUUUCAAGAAUUCACAGUUAUCAUGUCCUGUAGUGUGAAGAAAGAUAUAGCCGUUGAUGGAGCUGAAUUUUUGGUAAUUAGUUUGUUGGAGGAUUUUUGGUCGUUUUCUCCAUUUAGGUUCUAAAAUUUUGGAGGCAGCUUAAUGUGUCAUUUGUUAGAGCAAUUGUUAUGUUGUAAUUUGGGAAAUAGUGAUGAAUGUUUCGUGUUUCCAUCUUCAUGUGGAUUCUGAUUUGAAUGAAUAAAUUCUUCUUA